rnacentral:rRNA from 1 species
AUCAACUUUCGAUUGGUAGGAUAGAGGCCUACCAUGGUGGUAACGGGUAACGGGGUGUUAGGGCACGACACCGGAGAGGGAGCCUGAGAAACGGCUACCACAUCCAAGGAUGGCAGCAGGCGCGCAAAUUACCCAAUCCCGACACGGGGAGGUAGUGACAAUAAAUAACAAUACGGGGUUCUUUCGGAUCUCGUAAUUGGAAUGAGUACAAUUUAAAUCUCUUAACGAGGAACAAUUGGAGGGCAAGUCUGGUGCCAGCAGCCGCGGUAAUUCCAGCUCCAAUAGCGUAUAUUAAAGUUGUUGCAGUUAAAAAGCUCGUAGUUGAAUUUCGGGGUCAAUAAGUUGGUCGUGCCAAUGGUAUGUACUGGCUUUAUUGAUUACUACCUCUUGACGAACUGUGAUGCCAUUAAUUUGGUGUUGCAGGAAAUCAGGACUGUUACCUUGAAAAAAUUAGAGUGUUUAAAGCAGGCUUACGCUUGAAUACAUUAGCAUGGAAUAAUGAAAUAGGACGUUUGAACCUAUUUUGUUGGUUUCUAGGAUCGACGUAAUGAUUAAUAGGGAUAGUUGGGGGCAUUAGUAUUCAAUUGUCAGAGGUGAAAUUCUUUGGAUUUAUUGAAGACUAACUACUGCGAAAGCAUUUGCCAAGGAUGUUUUUCAUUAAUCAAGAACGAAAGUUAGGGGAUCGAAGGCGAUCAUAUACCGUCGUAGUCUUUAACC